rnacentral:lncRNA from 1 species
UGCCCCUUGAAGUCAAUGGAAAGGCAUCAGUGGACAGGCUCCUGUUGGCAUAUGUGGACCUUGGCUUGCAUCCCAAAUAGGGACUUCAUUGAUUUCAGUGGGAUGCUUUGAUUGUCCAGAGCCUUCCAAGUUGUCACUUCAAAUUCAUCCCUUAGAGCUGGUGUGUGACAGAAAGGUCCACUACUGUACAUCAGAUUUCCUUCAGAUUUGGAGCUUUUCGGAGCUUCGAGAGUUUGAGCAGGCACCAUGGAUGACUUUGAACGCCGCAGGGAGCUCAGGAGGCAAAAGCGUGAGGAAAUGCGCCUUGAAGCAGAGAGACAAUAUGUCAACUCCUUUUGGAGCAGUGGCACACUGGAAGGAAGGAGGCAUAGUACUUAAGUGUGCAGUAUCUCUGAAACAGUCACCUGCUUUUCUAUAAG